AAAGUCGUAACAAGGUUUCCGUAGGUGAACCUGCGGAAGGAUCACUAUCGAGCCGGCUGUUGAGAGUCUCGACCACCCCGGGUCCGUCUCCGUACCCGGGGCCAGUCAGACCUCCGGCCACCUGGCCCCAACCGUGCCUACCUUUACCUGUUGCCUCGGCGGACCGCACUGCUCUGCGGUCGACCCGGCCGGCCUCACCGCCGGCCGGGCCCGCGUCCGCCAGAGGGAUAAAAAACCUCAACCUUUAUGUGGAACGUCUGAGUCACUAUUGAAAAUAGUUAUAAAACUUUCAACAACGGAUCUCUUGGUUCCA
rnacentral:misc_RNA from 1 species